rnacentral:lncRNA from 1 species
AUAUUACACCCCACCUAUGAAUAAGGAUGUGCAUCUUCAUACUCAGUGGCCCUUAAAGUUGGUCAGAAAAAGGAAAGGUAAAAAGAUCCACACUUUCAGAAUACCAAGAUGAGCAGAGCGAGCUGAGCCUCUGUGAGGUCCAUGAAGCUAGAACGAAAUUGGGGUCGGGGAGUGGGUGUCCACUUUCAGUCUUGGCCACAAAAGCAAACAAAACAGUUAUUCUGAGGAAAUAUUUUAAUUUAGACAGCAUGAGCAAAAUAACUGGAUUGAUAUCUUCCUCUCCAUUUUUUCCCUGUUUCGAAUUCCAGUGUUAAUCAAUUCUCCUGAGUGUUUUCAACAAAGUACCCGCAAAUUUCCAGAGCAUGGGAUGAGAAAAACUUUGAAAUUCCAGCCUUAAUGACUGCUCCUCGUGGUCUCUCUCUCCAGUUAGACGAACCUGGGCUAGCAAUAUUCCCAAGAGUCAAUAGUCAGCCCUGGUGCUAUAUACUUCCAUGGGAAUUCCAUACUUUCUCAAAACGCGUCAUCAUGGUAAAUAAUUAAUUACUUGUAAUAUUAAGUUCUGUAGAAAUAAAACCAUGUUUUUCCGUCACUGCCUCCACAGCUUUCAGCACUGAAGGGUGACAUGUCAUACUCAUUGGCUAUGCAUCCGUUGAAGAAAUAAAGGAAUGAACUCUGACCGGGGAAAGCAGGAGAGGCAGGAGUGUGACACCCUAACAGUCGACUGCAGUGGGAGCAGUGGCACCAGCAGCACUUGGGGAGACUUUUACUUUCCAGUGUGGCGGGAGUAGUAAACACUAGGAGUCAGAGAGUAAUCACCGAAGCUGGAGUUAAAAGUGUAAAUUAAAAUCCUCCUUCCUAUAAGAGGAAGAUAACCGGUUGACUGCAACUCACGUUUCCCCUCCAGCACUCGGUUAAACACGCACACGCACGCGCGCACGAGCUGCCCACGGUCUUCCUUUCGGGGUUUGAGAAGAGACAGACAGAGGUGGGAGAGCGCAGCUGCAGCCGCAUCAACAUUCCGGUGUCUGCCCUUAGAAGAAGUCCGGAUUCAGUACUCGCCUGCUUAGACAAUUCUACUGUUGAUGUGGUGAAAGUACAUAUUUUUGGAGAUAAAGACACUGAACCACCAACAGAUACAGCAUACUGACCAACCAAGGCAGAGCUACAAUUAAAAAACCAAGAAGACAACAAGUGGAAUUUGCUUUUCUAUCCCUUCCUCAAAAUCUCCAUCAGCUUUUCCGAGGCAUUAUAAAU